rnacentral:rRNA from 1 species
UACGUAGGUGGCGAGCGUUAUCCGGAAUUACUGGGUGUAAAGGGUUCGCAGGCGGAAAUGCAAGUCAGAUGUAAAAGGCAGUAGCUUAACUACUGUAAGCAUUUGAAACUGCAUAUCUUGAGAAGAGUAGAGGUAAGUGGAAUUUUUAGUGUAGCGGUGAAAUGCGUAGAUAUUAAAAAGAAUACCGGUGGCGAAGGCGACUUUCUGGCCAUAAACUGACGCUGAGGUACGAAAGCGUGGGUAGCAAACAGG